UCAGCUCGUGUCGUGAGAUGUUGGGUUAGGUCCGCAACGAGCGCAACCCUUAUCGUUAGUUGCUACCAUUAGGUUGAGCACUCUAGCGAGACUGCCCGGGUUAACCGGGAGGAAGGUGGGGAUGACGUCAAAUCAUCAUGCCCCUUAUGUCUAGGGCUACACACGUGCUACAAUGGUGAGGACAAAGAGACGCAAGACCGCGAGGUGGAGCAAAUCUCACAAACCUCAUCCCAGUUCGGAUUGCAGGCUGAAACUCGCCUGCAUGAAGCCGGAGUUGCUAGUAAUCGCGAAUCAGCAUGUCGCGGUGAAUACGUUCCCGGGCCUU
rnacentral:rRNA from 1 species